rnacentral:rRNA from 1 species
GACGAACGCUGGCGGCGUGCUUAACACAUGCAAGUCGAACGGUAAGGCCCUGCUUUUGUGGCGUGCUCGUGUGGCGAAAGGGUGUGUAACACGUGUGUAACCUGCCCUUUACUUUGGGAUAACUUCUUGUAACUCGGGCUCUUACCGGAUAUGAUCUCCUGCUGCAUGGUGGUGGUUUGAAAGUUUCGGCGGUUGGGGAUGGACUCGCGGCUUAUCAGCUUUUUUGUUGAGUAGUGGCUUACCAAGGCUUUGACGGGUAGCCGGCCUGAGAGGGUGACCGGCGACAAUGGGACAGAGAAACGGGCAAGAGGGAAACGGGAGGCAGCAGUGGGAAAUAGUGCAAAAUGGGCGGAAGCAUGAUGCAGCAACGCCGCGUGCGGGAAGACGGCCUUCGGGUAGGAAAGCGGGUGAGACUGUGAAGAAGAGUGAGUGACGGUAAUGGGUAAAGAAGCAACGGCUAACUACGUG